CUUGGCCUGACACCGACAAGCCACCAGCUGCCUGCCUUCCAGCUGGCGGCUCACUCCCGCACGAGGAGAUAGGCUGGGGACGCCAGGCAGACGCUCCCGUGGGGCUCACGAGCGUGGCUGGGGAGAUGCAGGGCCGAGACCAACUCUCGCCAGCACCUGUGCCCAUCAGCCACGUGCCUCGAGCUCAGGAAUCACCGUGCCACCAGCAGGCCGUCAGAGCCGGGUCUGGUGUCCCCACUCCCAAGUGAGAAUCUUCCCACCUUGUGACCCUCUGGGGAGAGCUUUGAGGGCAUUUGCUCCUCCCAGAGAACCGUUCAAAGGUCAUUAAAACACCGCACCCACCCCAGGUCCCGUGGCUGAGCUGCCCUGAAGGAACGUGCCGGGUUUGGCUGGGGUUCUGCAAGGCCGGAGCUCACCAAGGUGGUGAGAAAACCAGAAGGCUGAGCUGGGGCUCCUUGUUCGGAGCUGACAGCGGCUAGGCCAGAGCCCCUCACGGUGGGGAGGCCAAGGUGCCAGUCAUACUUCUGGGCAAUCUGAAGCCAUGUGACCUGUGUCACUGGGGCCGUGACUCAGCCUCGUGCUUGCCAGAGCUCAUUCACAAAGUGGCGAAACUGCUCCGCAGGCGAUUUUCAGAGGGAGGAUCCCCAGGAGUCCCGACAGAGCUGGAACAAGGGAGAAAAUGAAAUUGCCUAAGGUGAACCUGGCAGGUGGGGACUGGAACUCAGCCAGGAUGUGGCACUGGAGGGAGACUUCGACUGCCAUCCUUCACUGCAGGUCUGUGGGAAGCUGGGCGUGUCCACACGUCCUCCGUGCCCGGCUAAGCACUGGCCCAAAGAGCGCACCAGCUCGCAUCUGUGCCACUGUCAGAAGAGCCGAGAUCUCUGGAAAAUAAAGCUCCCCAGGUCUCUCUGCCCGGGUGAAUGUGGUUGGCAGGUAGACAUCUGUCCUGAUUGCUAAUGAAUGACCUAUUUUUUCUAAAAAAGAGGGGAAGAAAAGAAAGAAUGAUGGAGGGAAGGGAAGGAGACAUAAAAGUUCUAGCUCAACCAGGCAUGGGGGCACACACCUGUAAUUCCACCUGCUUGAGAGGCUGAGGCAGGAAGUUCACAAAGUUGAGGCUAGCCUAUGCAAUUUAUCAAGACCUUGUCUCAAACCUAAGAAAGGGUGGGGAUGUAGUUCAGGGUAGGGCAUUCGCCAAGCAUGUUUGAGGUCCUGAGUUCAAACCCAGUACAACCAACCAACAAAACAAAAAACCUAGAUCAGUACCGUUCAAUAUAGUAGCUGCUGCCUACGUAUUGCUAUUGAGCACUUGCCUUUUUUUUUCUUUUUGCCGUACAGGAGACGAGACCCAGGGCCUUGCUGCGGGCAAACACUCUGCACAAGCUACACCUCCAGCCCACUCUUGAGCACUUGAAAUGUGGAUGGUCUGAAUGAGAUAUGCUAUAAAUAUAAACUAUGCAUGAGACUUCAAAGACUUGGUUAUAAAAGGAAUGUUAAAAAUAAUAAGCCAGGCAUCGUGGCAGAGGUCUGAAAUCCCAGCAUGUGGGAGGGAGGCUGAGGCAGGAGGAUCACCAUGCGUUGGAGGCCAACCUGGGCUACAUAGUAAAUUCAAGCCCAGUCUGAGCUACAUAGUGAAACCUUGUAUUGAAGCAAGCAAAAAAAUAAACAAACAAAAAUAAUUUUCAUCAAUUAUGUGUUUUUUUUGUUGGUGGUGGUGGGGUAAUAGGAAUCGAACUCAG
rnacentral:lncRNA from 1 species